rnacentral:rRNA from 1 species
UGCAGUCGUACGGUAAGGNCCUUUCGGGGGUACACGAGUGGCGAACGGGUGAGUAACACGUGAGUAACCUGCCCACAACUUUGGGAUAACGCUAGGAAACUGGUGCUAAUACUGGAUAUGUGCUCCUGCUGCAUGGUGGGGGUUGGAAAGCUCCGGCGGUUGUGGAUGGACUCGCGGCCUAUCAGCUUGUUGGUGGGGUAGUGGCCUACCAAGGCGGCGACGGGUAGCCGGCCUGAGAGGGUGACCGGCCACAUUGGGACUGAGAUACGGCCCAGACUCCUACGGGAGGCAGCAGUGGGGAAUAUUGCACAAUGGGCGCAAGCCUGAUGCAGCAACGCCGCGUGCGGGAUGACGGCCUUCGGGUUGUAAACCGCUUUCAGCAGGGACGAAGCUUUUUGUGACGGUACCUGCAGAAGAAGCACCGGCUAACUACGUGCCAGCAGCCGCGGUGAUACGUAGGGUGCGAGCGUUGUCCGGAUUUAUUGGGCGUAAAGGGCUCGUAGGCGGUUGAUCGCGUCGGAAGUGGAAACUUGAUGCUUAACGUUGAGCGUGCUUUCGAUACGGGUUGACUUGAGGAAGGUAGGGGAGAAUGGAAUUCCUGGUGGAGCGGUGGAAUGCGCAGAUAUCAGGAGGAACACCAGUGGCGAAGGCGGUUCUCUGGACCUUUCCUGACGCUGAGGAGCGAAAGCGUGGGGAGCGAACAGGAUUAGAU